CCUACGGGUGGCUGCAGUGGGGAAUAUUGGACAAUGGGCGAAAGCCUGAUCCAGCCAUGCCGCGUGUGUGAAGAAGGCCUUCGGGUUGUAAAGCACUUUCAGUGGGGAAGAAAGCCUUGGGGCUAAUACCCUCGAGGAAGGACAUCACCCACAGAAGAAGCACCGGCUGAACUCCGUGCCAGCAGCCGCGGUAAUACGGAGGGUGCGAGCGUUAAUCGGAAUUACUGGGCGUAAAGCGCGCGUAGGCGGUCUGAUAAGCCGGUUGUGAAAGCCCCGGGCUCAACCUGGGAACGGCAUCCGGAACUGUCAGGCUAGAGUGCAGGAGAGGAAGGUAGAAUUCCCGGUGUAGCGGUGAAAUGCGUAGAGAUCGGGAGGAAUACCAGUGGCGAAGGCGGCCUUCUGGACUGACACUGACGCUGAGGUGCGAAAGCGUGGGUAGCAAACAGGAUUAGAUACCCUUGUAGUC
rnacentral:rRNA from 1 species